rnacentral:tRNA from 1 species
UUAAUUGAAACCAAAAAGCGGUACAUUAUUGUUAAUAAUCCAAUUGAUCCAUUACCUGAUCCAAUUAAA